UAUCUGCCAGAAUGGUCUGCCUGG
rnacentral:siRNA from 1 species